UAUAAUAUUUGCUAUGAACAACAAAUAAUGUAGUGCGUUCUUCAGCGAGGGUUGGGCUGUUAUCUAGCAGUGACAUUAGUGAGCUUGAAUCCCAGAAUUGGCCAAUUUAUUAUAGGUUGAAAUAUUAUUACUUGAGCAAUAUAAUUAAAAAAAUAUGAGGUCAACAUUGGUUAGAUCAUAGACAGGCUUUACAGUGUGAGAUGCUUAGAAGACAAUUAUGAGAUCAAGAUAUGACAAAGAAUAUAUGUAUUUAUUCCAAAGAGUUCCUUUCAUUCUUCACCUUAGAUAUUGUCCAUCAUGUUACCUAACCAACGAUCUCCUGAAUCUGAGCAAUUUACUCCUCAAAUAAGCAGUCUUACAGGAAUAUGUUAGCCAAUAUAGAGGAAAAACAAGAAAGGGAAAAAGGAUGUUCGGAAAAAAAAUAAUAAUAAUAAUAAGGAAUGUAAAAUUCCUUAUCUAUGUUCGAUGCUGAACAUGUAUCAACCUAUAAUAUAAUUUAUGAAUGGACAUAAAUGUACUGCCAUAUUAGAAGAGAAUUUUUUUAUCCUUUUCUUCUUUCUUUCUCUCUCUUUUCUUUUUCAUUUUUGAAUGUGUGCGCGCUCGCAUGGAAAGGAUGUGAGGGUGGAGAUCAGCUCUUUUGAAUUGAAUGAUAUUUUUAAGGAGCCUAAGUUUAUUUUGGAAUAGAUUUUAUUUAUAUGCAUAGGUAUAUGCCGAAAUUUAUGAGAGUCCAUAUCCUCUUUUUUACUUGGCAUUGCACCCGAACAUUAUAAAUGAAGUUCCUGUUAAAUUGUUAAUGGACAGCUGCGAUACGUAGUAUAGUGGCAACAAUGUCAUAUUCUGUCAUUUUCCAUUAUGUGAUUGUAAUUUCUGGUGGCUGAAAUUUCAGGGCUACAAGGAUUUGACUGGAACUGCAUGGUCUUAUGCAUACUUCGUCAGCUUCUAUCUUAUUACAAUCUUACUACUACUGAAUUUGGUUGUGGCAUUCGUAUUGGAGGCUUUCUUCGCUGAAAUGGAUCUUGAAACUUCUGAGAAAUGUGAAGAUGCAACUGGCAAGGAUGAAAUUCAUCAGGGGCAUCGACGACGUAAUGUGGGCACGAAGACAAGGAGUCAGAGAGUUCAGAUGCUUCUCCACCAUAUGUUGAGCGCUGAGCUGGGGAAAACAGAGUGCUCCUCCCCAUAAAGUCGAUAUAUUUCUUAUCCUUGCAGGUACCUCCAACAAGAGAAGGACGAAACAAGUAUUCAGGAGAUGAUUUAGCAAUUUCAGAGAUUUCCAUCGAUCCUGCUUUUGCGUCACCGAAGGCAAAAAAUUGGACCCACUUCGUUUUCUGGAAUAUUACAUAUAUUUUCUACCAGCUUUUUCUUUUUUUAUUUAUUUAUUUUUUUGCCUGAAUUGUUGAAGAGGACCCCCUACGGGUUCCCUUCUAGUCGAACCCCUAUUCUAUUGCUGGGAUACAACUUUUUUGGGUGGUAUUGUGUCCCAAAUCCAAUGGUAGUGGUGGUUUCUAUGUGCAUUUUGUGGAUGGAAAAUGUAAAGGGAUUCAGUCUUGUGUUUGCAACACUUUUACAGGCAUAUGUAUUCAAGAUUGAGUAAAAAAUUUAUAAUUGGACACUGGCAUUUAGAAAUGA